UCAGGAGAACGGUCUGGAAAGUCCGGCAGUAAAGGGUGAUAGCCCCGUAUCCGAAGAUGCUGUUAUUGUGAACUCGACGAGUAGGGCGGGACACGUGUUAUCCUGUCUGAAUAUGGGGGGACCAUCCUCCAAGGCUAAAUACUCCUGAUUGACCGAUAGUGAACCAGUACCGUGAGGGAAAGGCGAAAAGUACCCCGGCGAGGGGAGUGAAAAAGAACCUGAAACCGUGUACGUACAAGCAGUAGGAGCCUCUUUAUGGGGUGACUGCGUACCUUUUGUAUAAUGGGUCAGCGACUUAUAUUCUGUAGCAAGGUUAACCGUAUAGGGGAGCCGUAGGGAAACCGAGUCUUAACUGGGCGAAUGAGUUGCAGGGUAUAGACCCGAAACCCGGUGAUCUAUCCAUGGGCAGGUUGAAGGUUGGGUAACACUAACUGGAGGACCGAACCGACUAAUGUUGAAAAAUUAGCGGAUGACUUGUGGAUGGGGGUGAAAGGCCAAUCAAACCGGGAGAUAGCUGGUUCUCCCCGA
rnacentral:ncRNA from 1 species